UACGUACAAGCAGUGGGAGCACCUUCGGGUGUGACUGCGUACCUUUUGUAUAAUGGGUCAGCGACUUAUAUUCUGUAGCAAGGUUAACCGUAUAGGGGAGCCGCAGGGAAACCGAGUCUUAACUGGGCGUUAAGUUGCAGGGUAUAGACCCGAAACCCGGUGAUCUAGCCAUGGGCAGGUUGAAGGUUGGGUAACACUAACUGGAGGACCGAACCGACUAAUGUUGAAAAAUUAGCGGAUGACUUGUGGCUGGGGGUGAAAGGCCAAUCAAACCGGGAGAUAGCUGGUUCUCCCCGAAAGCU
rnacentral:rRNA from 1 species